rnacentral:lncRNA from 1 species
GUAUGUGGGGUUAGAUUUAGGGUGCUUGGGGUGCCUGGGACCUUGGAGCGUUUAGUGGUUGGUAUCCCAGGAGGUUGAGUGGUUGGUCUUUUUGCGUUUUUAGUCACCCACUUCUUAGUACUCUUGGGUGUCUUCCCUGGAGACUUUGUGGUUUUGUCUAGCCCACGGGAGGGGAGGCUGGGGGAGGGCUUGGUGGCCAGCUCUCCUGGAAGCCAGGCAUCCUGAUCUCUACCCAGCCCAGGGAGCCAGGUCCAACUGAAGGGGUCUGAGAUGGUAUCCAGGCCAGGGGUCCCUAGGAGGCCGGGAGGAAGGAAAGAGAAGAUGUAAAAACCAUGAUGGUGGUCUCACGGAACUCUACCACGAAGCACUAACCCAUAUCCUCAGCCCUCUUUUCACACACACACACACACACACACACACACACACACACACACAGAGAGAGAGAGAGAGAGAGAGAGAGAAAGAGACAGACAGACAGACACACACACAGAGAGAGAGAGAGAGAGACAUACACAGAGAGAGAGAGGCCCAG